AGGGUUUGAUUAUGGCUCAGGACGAACGCUGGCGGCACGCCUAACACAUGCAAGUCGAACGGACGAGAGAGAAGCUUGCUUUUCUCAAGUUAGUGGCGGACGGGUGAGUAACACGUGAGCAACCUGCCUUUGAGAGGGGGAUAGCUUCUGGAAACGGAUGGUAAUACCCCAUAACAUACAUUUAAGGCAUCUUAGAUGUAUCAAAAGAAAUUCGCUCAAAGAUGGGCUCGCGUCUGAUUAGAUAGUUGGUGAGGUAACGGCCCACCAAGUCGACGAUCAGUAGCCGGACUGAGAGGUUGAACGGCCACAUUGGGACUGAGACACGGCCCAG
rnacentral:rRNA from 1 species